GCCGGCACUGGCACCGGGCCUCUCGGGACCUCGCCCCGGUCCACGGCUCCAGCACGCAGCGAGAAUGGCCCCCGCAGCUCAGGAACUUGCAAGGGUCGGCCCGGUCCGCUACGGGGACCGGUCACGUGGCCAGGUGCGCCGCAGCCGUGGAGCAGAACUCGCGCAGGACGCACUGGACCGCCUCGGUGAUGUUGUACGGCACCGACUUGGCCAACUUCAUUCUGCUGUUGACGACCACGCUGCCUUUGCGGAAGUUGAGGAUCUCCAAGUUGCGAAAGCCUGUCAGGUUGGCCUGCAAGUAGGGCAGCAGCUUUUUUUUUUUUUUUUUUUGCAGGGGCCAAGUCGGCAGCAUUGGUGGGACAAAGGGAAUACACACAAAAGUCAUCGGUCAAAUCGUGUCCUUUUACACGCACGCACGCAGACUCGCUGUCUUUUUCCUCACCACAUUUAGGAAGGUGUUCUCCAAGGACCUGUACUCGGGCGACGUCUUGUUGAAGAGGUCCUCGGAGAAGUCAAAGUUGGUGACGCGCAGGCUGAAGAAGACCACCAGCUCGCGGCCGUGAGGAGCCAUCGUCACGGUGGCCGUGGUCAGAUCCCUUCGUGUCCUCCUCCAUGACGAUGACAGCGCUUUGCUGGUGAGCUUCCGCCACCUCAAAGAGUCCAAAGUCCACAGUUGGGCCGCG